rnacentral:rRNA from 1 species
AGAGCGAACGCUGGCGGCAGGCCUAAAACAUGCAAGUCGAACGGACCCUUCGGGGUUAGUGGCGGACGGGUGAGUAACACGUGGGAACGUACCCUUUGGUUCGGAACAACUCAGGGAAACUUGAGCUAAUACCGAAUGUGCCCUUCGGGGGAAAGAUUUAUCGCCAUUGGAGCGGCCCGCGUCUGAUUAGCUAGUUGGUAGGGUAAAGGCCUACCAAGGCUACGAUCAGUAGCUGGUCUGAGAGGAUGAUCAGCCACACUGGGACUGAGACACGGCCCAGACUCCUACGGGAGGCAGCAGUAGGGAAUCUUGCGCAAUGGGCGAAAGCCUGACGCAGCCAUGCCGCGUGAAUGAUGAAGGUCUUAGGAUUGUAAAAUUCUUUCAGCGGGACGAUAAUGACGGUACCCGCAGAAGAAGCCCCGGCUAACUUCGCGCCAGCAGCCGC